GGUCCGGUUAGCUCAGUCAGUUGAGCAUGGCACUGACAACAUCAAGGCUGCGGGUUUGAUCCCCGUUCGGUCCC
rfam:Apaloderma vittatum contig78071, whole genome shotgun sequence.